rnacentral:rRNA from 1 species
UGGGGAAUUUUGGACAAUGGGCGCAAGCCUGAUCCAGCCAUGCCGCGUGUGUGAAGAAGGCCUUCGGGUUGUAAAGCACUUUCGGCCGGAACGAAAUCGCCUCCGUUAAUAGCGGGGGUGGAUGACGGUACCGGAAGAAGAAGCACCGGCUAACUACGUGCCAGCAGCCGCGGUAAUACGUAGGGUGCGAGCGUUAAUCGGAAUUACUGGGCGUAAAGGGUGCGCAGGCGGUUGCGCAAGUCAGGCGUGAAAUCCCCGGGCUUAACCUGGGAAUGGCGCUUGAAACUACGUGACUGGAGUAUGGCAGAGGGAGGUGGAAUUCCACGUGUAGCGGUGAAAUGCGUAGAGAUGUGGAGGAACACCGAUGGCGAAGGCAGCCUCCUGGGCCAAUACUGACGCUCAUGCACGAAAGCGUGGGGAGCAAACAGGAUUAGAUACCCCUGUAGUCCCUGAGCGGGCUGGCAAGGCGCAU